rnacentral:rRNA from 1 species
ACGUGAACAACAUACCCUUGAGUGGGGGAUAGCCCGCCGAAAGGCGGAUUAAUACCCCAUGGUAUCUUCGGAUUAAAGAUGGCUUCGGCUGUCGCUUAAGGAUUGGUUCGCGCCCUAUCAGCUUGUUGGUGAGGUAACGGCUCACCAAGGCUACGACGGGUACCUGGUUUGAGAGGACGAUCAGGCACACUGGAACUGAGACGCGGUCCAGACACCUACGGGUGGCAGCAGUCGAGAAUAAUUCACAAUGGACGAAAGUCUGAUGGUGCAACGCCGCGUGGAGGAUGACGGUCUUCGGAU